CUGUAAAACAAACACCUCCCCCUUAUUUUGCCAUUGAAAUGAUGGAGGACAAUGCUUCUUUAUUACAUUAACAGUCAGAAGUGAGGAUAUGACCGUUUCAGAGGAAGUUGUGAUGUUAAUUUGUCUAUGGUGAAGUGUGAGCACUUUGACAUCUGAGCUGAGCAUGUCGACUGGAGGGGGGGUGCCGACCCCCAUCUGCCAGGGCUUUCUAAAGAAACGCAAGGACAAAAUGAUAGAAAGUCAUACAGGUUUGGAAUGACAUGAGGGCGAGUAGAGGAUGGAAGGAUUUUCAUUUUUAGAAGCUUCGGUGGGUGACUUACUGGUUCAGACUUUACAAUACAACUCUGUUUUUCUACACAAAGAAACAUGGAUGCGCCGUAAGUAUGUCAGUGUUGGAUAAUCUCUUAAUCUGUCAUAUCAUAAAUUAAUAAUAUGAAUCAGUUAAUAUGAUGUUUAUUAUAUUUAGUUCCUAUAGCUCAACUGAUGACAAGGCAGACUAAAUGACUUUUGUGUUGAGUCUCAAUAUAAACCCAUACAAAUAGCUCCUAGUUCAAACAAAAGUUAUCUUGUUUAGAAAGCUUUGAUUUGGGCUUCAAUGAACCAUUGUCCCGUUCAUUGUGUAAGAAUGGUGUUGUAGUUCUGGGCUGUGUUUCCCAAAAGCAUCGUAAGCCUACGUUGAUCGUAGCUCCAUUGGUGACUAUUUGUUCUAAGAUCAACUUGAGGUUACGAUGCUUUUGGGAAACGCAGCCCUGGUCUUUAAGCUAUUGUUUCUUUCCUCCCACAGUUAGAUCUCAGGGGACAGUAUUACAUAUAUGAGGUGCAGUCUGUGCACAAGGUAAGCGGGCCAGAGAAUAAGCGCUAUCUUUUUGAGAUGACAAUGAAAAAUGGGAAGAAGAAAAUGCUGGCUGCAGAUACAGCUGAUGUUAGACAGCUGUGGAUGGACCAGUUGUGGAAAGCCAUGAUACACAAUGGGCCCAAUAGAACCAGACCUGUACCUGAUGGGGAGCAAAUUUCAGAUAAUAAAUCUGAAACGCAACCUUGCCUGUCUGAAGACACUUAUGCAAGAGGCAACAGAUGUCUCUCUUUUGAUCAAGAGUCAUUCCAUUCCUUUAGAAGUAAUACUGAUGACAAAGAAAGUCUGCACACUGACAAUGAAAUGGAGAUGAGCACUGAAGAGAUUUUACUGACAGACUAUGACAUUCUCCCACCUCGAAAAUGUCUGUAUAUUUUUUCUUCAUUAAGAAUAUUAACAGUUUGUUAAAAUAGCUGCAUUUGAUUUGCUUUGCCUUUGCAUGAUGAUGAUUUAUUAAUGAUUGGUUGCAGAUACUGACAAAACCCUCUAUAACACACAACCUAGCAAUUGGCCAGCUAACCCUAACCAUGCAUUUGAAAGUUAUUUAUGUGAACAAGCUUGGUUUUUUUUCAUUCAGCUCAAAUCUAGUGAAACAAACAUUGACUCGUUUAGGAUCAUUCAUCAAUUGGUGGCUGAGGAGAUUCUGAAGCAGCUAUCCAGCCAUCAGCCCCAGAGUGCCAUAGCAAUGAACCUGCUUCAAAACAAAAUGCUGUUUGACCACAGAUCAGAAUCAGAAGAGCUUUAUUGCCAAGUGUGCUUGCACACACAAGGAAUUUUCUUUGGUGUUGGAAGCUUCUAGUACAGACAUUCAACACAAUGACAAUACAAUAUAAUACGAUUGUAUUGUAUUGAUUUGAUCAAGAUGAAUUUAAAAAGUGUGUCAGAGAUCGGUUUAUCAAGCGGACCAAAAAAAGCAAGGGGGAUUCAAAUGACAGUUGGUUUUCUCCCUUAAUAGAGCAUGUGUGGAAGAGACUCUAGAGAAAGCUGUAGACCUUUUAAAGGGAGCUUACGAGUGUUUUGAAGAGGAUGCUUUUGUUGCACAACAACUUGCACGACUUAAUGAAAAUAAAAGGUUUGAGGAAGCUCAUGGGCUGAAUGUGUAACGUCUCAUCUCCCACAACACAUAUACAUACUUGACACAGUGGGACAAGUGUACAAAAAGUGGUUCUAUCACAAACAUGACAUUGUUCUUGAAAAGGAUCCCAUUAAACCAGAGGACGUUGCUGAUAUCAUUGAUACAGCUCUAAAAGGCAUCAAUGCUUUUAGAGCCUCGGAAAACUGUCCAGAGUCACAGACAGAGUGCUUAAAUAAUUCAUAUUUUGGAGAAGUUGACAUUGGAUGUCGAUUGCUUGAGCUCCUUUCACGUGUAGACGUUUUUGCUAAUGACAAAUCUAAAUUAAUGGAUUACCUUCUUACUGCUCACAUACCCGAGGAAGUCCAGAAACCUUGGCAGAAGUCAGAGGUGUAAAGAGUACCUGAAAACCAUACUUAAGUAAAAGUACAGAUACCUUGCAGUGAAAAUUACUCCAUUACAAGUUACAAGUUACCAAUUCCAAAACGACUUCAGUAAAAGUCUUCGAGUAUCUGAUUUGAACAGUACUUGAGUAUUUUACUCAUACUGAAUGUAGGCUCAAAGCAGCACUAGUCCCCAACACUUAAGAGACAUGUCAGUGAAAAACUAGAAACAGUUGAUUUGUGAGGAGAGCAAUCGCAUUUAUUUUCUUAAAUCAUAAUAAGACUGAACACCUCAAAAUGCAACAAAUCAUGGUCGACACCAUAACCUACGUCAUUACAAACACCCAAGUCUCAUUUAAGCUCAAGUGCUCAUAAGUAAACCAAAGUCCUUCAAAAAGGUCUCUUCAAUAUAACAGAUAAAUAAAAUAAUGUUAAGUAGAAUUAAAAAGUCAAAGCCUUUUUGCACUGGACAUGCUGGUUUGGGCCUCAUCGCCAGCUGCAGUCAUGUCCUCAUUUCACAUACACUGUUAGCCCUUACCUGCCAUUUCUACA